rnacentral:rRNA from 1 species
CACUAGGAGAAACUUUACUCUUAGCAGUACCUGCCCAGUGCAAAGUUGUAAACGGCCGCCCUAGCGUGAGGGUGCCAAGGUAGCGAAAUUCCUUGCCUUUUAAUUGUAGGCCUGCAUGAAUGGAUUGACGAGGGUCAAACUGUCUCUUGCUUUGUAUAGCGAAAUUGGACUGAAGGUGAAGAUACCUUCAUAUAAAAGUUAGACAAGAAGACCCCGUGCAGCUUUUAAAAACUUACUUAUUAAGAGUUAUAAGAUUUUUAGGUGGGGCGCCUAGGAAGUAAAACUUAACCUUCUUAUUUGUUAAAGAUAACUGUCUGGUGUAGACCCGGCAAGUCCGAUCAUGGGAGAAGUUACGCCGGGGAUAACAGGCUUAUCCAUUAGUAGAGCUCGUAUUGGCUAAUGGGAUUGGCACCUCGAUGUUGAAUUAAGGAUAAUACCUCUAAGGCGUAGAGGCUUUGGAAGUGGGUCUGUUCGACCUUUAAUACCUU